rnacentral:rRNA from 1 species
CACGUAGGCACCAAGCGUUGUCCGGAUUUAUUGGGCGUAAAGAGCUCGUAGGCGGUUCGGUAAGUCGGGUGUGAAAACUCUGGGCUCAACCCGGAGACGCCACCCGAUACUGCUGUGACUAGAGUGCGGUAGGGGAGCGGGGAAUUCCUGGUGUAGCGGUGAAAUGCGCAGAUAUCAGGAAGAACACCCGUGGCGAAGGCGGUUCUCUGGGACGGUACUGACGCUGAGACGCGAAAGCGUGGGGAGCGAACAGG